AUUGAACGCUGGCGGCAGGCCUAACACAUGCAAGUCGAGCGGUUGAAGGGGGCUUGCUCCUGGAUUCAUAGGCGGACGGGUGAGUAAUGCCUAAGACUCUGCCUGGUCGUGGGGGAUAACGUCCGGAGAAGGGCGCUAAUACCGCAUACGACCUGAAGGAGAACGUGGGGGCUCUUCGGACCUCCCGCUAUCCGCUGAUCCUAGGUCGGAUUAGCUAGUUGGUGGGGUAAAGGCCUACCAAGGCGACGAUCCGUAACUGGUCUGAGAGGAUGAUCAGUCACACUGGAACUGAGACACGGUCCAGACUCCUACGGGAGGCAGCAGUGGGGAAUAGUGGCCAAUGGGCGAAAGCCUGAUCCAGCCAUGGCGCGUGUGUGAAGAAGGGCCUCGGAUUGUAAAGCACUUUAAGUUGGGAGGAAGGGCAGUAAGUUAAUACAUUGCUGUUUUGACGUUACCAACAGAAUAAGCACCGGCUAACUUCGUG
rnacentral:rRNA from 1 species